GGAAUUAGAAUUUUUGACAGUGAGCUGUCUCACUCCUCUUGUCAUUUGCAACAUCCAUCAGAGUUCUUGGGACUUAAAAGUUCCUAAGAAAUGUUUGAAGGAAUGACUAAAUGCGCAUAUGCAUUCUCGGAAAACUCAAAUACCUUUUGAUCUAUUAAUAUGGUAUGAUUAUAACAAAUAUGGAAUCAUAUUGCCAUCUAGUGGUUAGAUGUUGACUUCAUUUAGAAACAAAAUACAGAAUGUUACUGAGGUUAUUGUUGGAGCAGCGUCUUAUUUACAGAUACUUUCAUAAGAAAAAUAUUUUUAUAGCUUCACGCUAUAUUCUGAGAACGUCUUGAUGUGUUGGAUCACCACUAAAGGAACUUUUCAGAGACACUAAUAUGGCAGUGUGCUCUGUGAAGCUCCAAGAGAGGAUUCUGCAUGACAUGUUUUCCACACUCUUCAGACUUUUUUCAAGGAGCAACUCAUUGGACCAUUGUUCUAUGGGGAAAAAUUGGAGAAACACUGCUUCAUUGCUAUAUUUCCCAUAUGUUGGAAGUAUCUAUUAGUACACAGUGUUUUUGACUACAAAGCCUUCUCUGACCUUCAUAUCCAUGUUCUACAUACAGUGAAUUCAAGGAGCAUCAUCUGUGUACGUCCGGACCCAGGAAUUGAAACUGCAAACCCCAGGCCGCUGAAGUGGAGCACGUGAACUCAACCACUACGACACUGGACGGGCCUCUGCUGUGCUAUUUUUUAAUAAUAAAAGUUCUAGAAUAAGCUAGAGGUCAAUAAUAGGACUUUGGACUCCAUGAGAGAAGGGACUUUGUCUAUUUCGCUCGCCACUGUACACUCAGUGCCAAGCACAGUUCUGGCACAUAGUAGGUAUUCAAUGAAUAGAAUUUGCUGAAUGAA
rnacentral:lncRNA from 1 species